CAUGAAGCUGGAAUCGCUAGUAAUCGCGGAUCAGAAUGCCGCGGUGAAUACGUUCCCGGGUCUUGUACACACCGCCCGUCACACCAUGGGAGUCGGAAAUGCCCGAAGUCUGUGACCCAACCAUAGGGAGGGAGCAGCCGAAGGCAGGUCGGAUGACUGGGGUGAAGUCGUAACAAGGUAAC
rnacentral:rRNA from 1 species